AUUGAACGCUGGCGGCAUGCUUUACACAUGCAAGUCGAACGGCAGCGCGGGCUUCGGCCUGGCGGCGAGUGGCGAACGGGUGAGUAAUACAUCGGAACGUGCCCAGUAGUGGGGGAUAGCUCGGCGAAAGCCGGAUUAAUACCGCAUACGACCUGAGGGUGAAAGCGGGGGAUCUUCGGACCUCGCGCUAUUGGAGCGGCCGAUGGCCGAUUAGCUAGUUGGUGGGGUAAAGGCCUACCAAGGCGACGAUCUGUAGCUGGUCUGAGAGGACGACCAGCCACACGGGGACUGAGACACGGCCCAGACUCCUACGGGAGGCAGCAGUGGGGAAUUUUGGACAAUGGGGGAAAGCCUGAUCCAGCAAUGCCGCGUGUGUGAUGAAGGCCUUCGGGUUGUAAAGCACUUUUGGCGGGAACGAAAAGGACUGUGCCAAUACCACGGUUCGAUGACGGUACCCGCAGAAUAAGCACCGGCUAACUACGUG
rnacentral:rRNA from 1 species